UACGUAGGGGGCAAGCGUUGUCCGGAAUCAUUGGGCGUAAAGAGCGUGUAGGUGGCCAGAAAAGUCCGCUGUGAAAACUCGAGGCUCAACUUCGAGCUGUCGGUGGAAACUUUCUGGCUAGAGUCCGGAAGAGGAGAAUGGAAUUCCUGGUGUAGCGGUGAAAUGCGCAGAUAUCGUAAGGAAGACCAGUGGCGAAGGCGGGUCUCUGGACAGUUCCUGACGCUGAGGCACGAAGGCCAGGGGAGCAAACGGG
rnacentral:rRNA from 1 species